rnacentral:rRNA from 1 species
AUUGAACGCUGGCGGCAGGCCUAACACAUGCAAGUCGAGCGGAUGAAGGGAGCUUGCUCCUGGAUUCAGCUGCGGACGGGUGAGUAAUGCCUAGGAAGCUGCCUGGUAGUGGGGGAUAACGUCCGGAAACGGGCGCUAAUACCGCAUACGUCCUGAGGGAGAAAGGGGGGGAUCUUCGGACCUCACGCUAUUAGAUGAGCCUAGGUCGGAUUAGCUAGUUGGUGGGGUAAAGGCCUACCAAGGCGACGAUCCGUAACUGGUCUGAGAGGAUGAUCAGUCACACUGGAACUGAGACACGGUCCAGACUCCUACGGGAGGCAGCAGUGGGGAAUAUUGGACAAUGGGCGAAAGCCUGAUCCAGCCAUGCCGCGUGUGUGAAGAAGGUCUUCGGAUUGUAAAGCACUUUAAGUUGGGAGGAAGGGCAGUAAGUUAAUACCUUGCUGUUUUGACGUUACCAACAGAAUAAGCACCGGCUAACUUCGUG